CUGGCCGUGCUGAGCUGUCCCCUGCCGCUCUACAGGCACAGCCGCGCCUUCCUGCACGCGCUGCUGCACAGUGACAACACGGCCGCGCUGCACCACCUCACGGUCCACAACAUCGCCUACCAGGUGAGCCAGUGCCCGGGGCAAGGUGGGCGGGGCUGUCCUAGGUGCGUAUGCCCCACGCUGACCUCCCCUCCCCGCAGCUGCAGCUCAUGAGCGCCGUCCGCACCAGCAUCGUGGAGAAGCGCUUCCCGGACUUCGUGCGGGACUUCAUGGGCGCCAUGUACGGGGAUCCCACCCUCUGUCCCACCUGGGCCACUGACGCUCUGGCCUCUGUGGGAAUAACACUGGGCUGACCUGGCAUUGGGAGAGGGAGGGAGGAAGGAAGGGAGGGAGGGGCUGGAAGAUACUGAAGGAUUUCUUUUUGGAAGGUUUUUUUUAUUGUAACUU
rnacentral:sRNA from 1 species